rnacentral:rRNA from 1 species
ACUCCUACGGGAGGCAGCAGUGGGGAAUCUUCCGCAAUGGGCGAAAGCCUGACGGAGCAACGCCGCGUGAGUGACGAAGGCCCUUGGGUCGUAAAACUCUGUCUUCAGGGAAGAAAAAAAUGACGGUACCUGAGGAGGAAGCCCCGGCUAACUACGUGCCAGCAGCCGCGGUAAAACGUAGGGGGCGAGCGUUGUCCGGAAUUACUGGGCGUAAAGGGCGUGUAGGCGGUUCGCGAAGUCAGGAGUGAAAACUCGGGGCUCAACCUCGAGAUUGCUUUUGAAACCAGCGGGCUUGAGUGCAGGAGAGGAAAGUGGAAUUCCCAGUGUAGCGGUGAAAUGCGUAGAUAUUGGGAGGAACACCAGUGGCGAAAGCGGCUUUCUGGCCUGUAACUGACGCUGAGGCGC